AGGCAUGCGGGUUUAUUGUUAGAAUUAAUGGACUAUUAAUAAGAAAUGUAGAUAAUGUAUGCUGCAGAGCUUUGAAAAUCCUGAAACACACCCUAAGGGUUAUGGAAUUUACAUCUUUCAUAGCUUCUAUUAUUUCUUCACUAGUUUGCAGCUAUGCCCACACCUGGAAGGUGACAAAAGGUGGAGUUUACUUUCUCGCCCGUGUCAGCAGUCAUACGGUGGAAUCCAUGAAAAUUGGAUUUCCUUUUUCUGGUGCGUUUUACUCUUGAACUGUGUAACUGUGGAUAACUUUAAUACUGCCCAUUCUUUGUUUACAGUUAUAUAAUUUCUAUUAGCCUUAAAAGUAACCGAUAUAUUUCUUUUUUAAGGUUUCAGUAUAAAACAUAAUCUGCAUCUUCAUUAUGAAACUCAUAUGCAAUUUUCUUCUAUCUCUAGAAGUUUAGAUUGAGGUUUAAAAGAACCAUUUUCAUUAUCAAGCUUCCCCAUAGUUUCCCACUUUCUUAUUCCAAAUAUUUUUAAAAAUCACACCAAAUAUCAGAGCUUUUAGCAAUAUAAAGAAAGAUUUAUUUUCAAAAGUAGCAAAACUUGUUUGAAAAAAAUAUAUAUCUUUAAGUGAAUUACUUUAUAAAUGUGACUGUCAAAGUCAGCUAUCCUAUGAUCUACAUUUUACAACAUAUUGUACAAAAGAUACAUUGAUAGGCUCUUAUCUAUUUAUAUAUUUAUAAUUACAUAUUGCACUUGGACCAGCAAGGCUUGCAGAGUCAUUCACGGUAGAAGUUAAUAAAGUUAAAUAGAUGGCAAUCUUUGUAAGUACAAUUGAUCUCCUCUGGUUUGGAAACGAAUCUCCUCGUCGUUGUAAAGUGUUCUCGCGGGGUGGGACAGAGAGAGGAGCAUUGCGAGGGGGAAGCAGAGACAGAGAGCACUGAGGGCAGGGGUCGCCUUCCCGGGGCCCGCUCCCCCCGGGAGCGCGCCUUUCCCAGACUCGCACCUCCAAGGUCAGGACGCGGUGGUUCCACAUAAGCGGCUCGCGGUCACCACUUCCUUCAGGUCACUCUCGGGUUUCCCGGCCACCAUAAAGGGCCACGUCUGCGGGAAAGAAGAGGGUGGAGGAGAAAACACGAAUUAAAAUACAGGGAGUAUCAACUGCAUCCUGCCAACACCUCAUAAGACUCCAAGGCUUUACCGAGAUCUUCCACCUUCCCCGGGAUAAAUGAAGACAAGUGCUUCCUAGAAUCUUUAUGGUGAUGGAAAAGUGGAGAUUUAAAUGACCACAUCCACCCUAAGAUUUAUUGUGAGAAUGAUUGAUGUUAUAAACCAGGAAAAGGACUCUUCCCACAGCAGGGAUGACAGAAAUAUCAAGCUGAAGUUGCCUUUGUCUUCACAUACGAAUGACCCAGUACUACAACACAGAAAGUAUAAUAAUUUAAUCUGAGGUUCAAGACAGCAGUGAGAGAACACCCAGCAGGCCUGUUAAAAAUUUCUUCACUAAUUCCUCAACCAGUUUCCUUUGAUUUGCUCUCCCUUUUCUCAGUCUUGGUAAAACAUGAAAGUUAAAGUUAUUUUUAGACUACAGAGCUAUGUGAAAAUGGGCAUUGGCCAAUACUUUGUGAAAUGUGUGUGUGUGUGUGUAGCUACUAAGAUAUCUGCAAAAUAACUACAAAUAAUUAAUUUGGACUCUGGAAUGUGAUAAUUAUUAUAAAUCCAAACUAUGGCCUUACUGCAUACAUUAAGCUGUGAUUUUUCUUGUUGGAGCCAUUUUUUUUUCUUUUUGGCUCUGGGUCUCUGUUACACCUUAGUUAAUGGACUGCUCAGGCUGUCUGGGGAGAUAGUAAAAAUCAUAGUAAUAUGUACCACUGAAAAGAUUUCUGUUGUCUGUAUAUUUUUCAAUGUUGGAAACUUAAAAGUACCAAUUUCUGGAAGCAUGUAAAAUUAGCCUCAUGUCAUAGGAUGGUUUUUAUGCUUAGCAAUUAUUUUUCUUCAUAGCCAUAUAAGAAAUAAUUAAGUCCCAUGUCCAUUUAUCUUGCAGUAAGACAUUUGGGCUGAGAAAGGCUAGUGGGCUGAUAAUAAAUUUUGGAGUGUUUCUAAAAUUCUGUAAAAGAUGGCUUCCAGUUUGGGAGUAAGAGUCAAAGAAUACUGUUGCUUAUGUAUCUUGAUAUGAAGUCUUGGAGAGAGAAUAUUCAUAUGAAAAAUACUUUUUUUCUUUUAAAAUUUUGUGUCUAUCCCUGCUAAUAAACACUUAGGGACAAAUGGGUGGGAGAAAUGACUUCUUGUUGGAUUCUACUGAGCAAGUCAGUUAAGCUGUAACUUAAGCUGUGCCAAAUUCUCCCAAAAUAUAAACUAUAUUCUGUGAGAAGACAAGCACUUUUGAGAAGCUGUAUUAACCCUUUUGGUAAGUUGACCACUUCUGUUCCAAAGCACGAAAUAGAAAACUCGUGAUUUGAAAGUAUGAGAUCAUUUCUAAAAGUUCUUACCUGACUUUUAAGAAGCAGUUAUGCCCCAGAGGCAUCUGGCCAAUUUGCUGCUCACUUCUAACAAUUUGUUUUGCAAGAGAGACUAUCUUUGAAAGAUUUUAGUGCUAAGGAAAUUUUAUCUCUGAAAGCUGUAAAAUGAAGAUUAGGCAUGGAAUGUACCCUUGAACUUAAAUCCUGGUUUAUCAGCUGAUACAUUUACAGGAAGUUCAAAUUUGAUUCAGUUGCACUUGGAUGGAAUAAUUUGCUUCCUUUUUUAUGAGAAGGAAAACAUCAUAGGCUUCCUUUGAACUGACUUCAUAUGCCAUUACAUAAUCUUUCUCAGGGGAAAAAUAUGCCUUUAAAUUUAAAUGUUAAUCCUUUUCUCUUACUCCUCAUCAUUUGGUCAGGAGACACAGGCUGGCAAAUUGGCAAAACUGCCCAUUCUCUUUUUUCUUCAUUUCUAAUUAGCACCGCCAGAUGUUUUAUUCAUUUUAUUUGAUGGUAACUACCACCACUUCAAAUAUUUGCCAACUUUCUAUGCAAGUUGACGCCUUUUUUUUUUUCUUUUUUUGAUGGAGUCUUGCUCUGUCACCCAAGCUGGAGUGCAUCAGCACGAUCUAGGCUCACUGCAACCUCUGCCUCCCAGGUUCAAGAGAUUCUCAUGCCUCAGCCUCCCGAGUAGCUAGAAUUACAGGUGCCUGCCACCAUGCCUAUCAAAUUUUUGUAUUUUUAGUAGAGGUGGGGUUUCACCAUUUUGGCCAGGCUGGUUUCAAACUCCUGAUCUACCCACCUCGGCCUCCCAAAGUGCUGGGAUUACAGGCAUGAGCCACCGUGCCCAGCCAGGUGCCUCUUUUUUGAUUUUACAUAAUUAUCUCCAUAUACUUUGUUUGCUGCUGAUUGAUUGUUGUCUAUCUCCCACUUAUAUGCCUAUCAAACUCUGACUUUGUUUCAUUAAAUUUUAACUUUAUUUAAUAAAGUGGGCAUUACCUCUCUUUGCUCAUUCUAAAUUAUAGUGGUGCUGUCCUGUUAUAUUUUGGCAGCCAAAGUGAAUAUGGCACUAGUGAGCUUGGUGGCUAGCUAAGAAGGUCAAUAACAGUGAUGCUGGGUGUUGCUGCUACCUUUACCUGGCACCAGCUGGGAGACGGUAUAAAUCCUGGAUGGUAUAAAUCCAUUCAGUAAUUAGAAGUCUUCUGCAUGUUCACUAUACCCUAACCCCCUCUUUUCACAUUGAAUUCAGUGAAUUGUAGAUAAGAUGCCACAUUGCUAAGAUUUAAAGGUGGCAAAUAACAACAAUAAAGUCUAGGGAAAGAUUCUGCAUGGUUCUUUGAAUCCAGGAGUUAAUCUUGCAUUUCACAUGUUCCACAAUACAGCUUUGAAAGCAGCCAAGCCUAUGCACUUGAAAGUCAGAGUUUACCCUAAGGUGUAAGUGGGCCAGAGAAAACUCGGGCAGACAAAGAGAGUUAAAAAUUUUGCAAAGCCAGUUUAAUGUCCUCCUAAGUUUUCUAAUACUAGAAUAAUUUUAUUAGACCCUCUCAGUGUUAGGAAAGAGAGAGAAAAGGACUGAGCGACUCCUGAGUCAGGUACCAUGCAGGGACUUUUGCCUCCAUUCUCUCAUUUCAUGUAUUUUCUCUCCUUUCUGUUGGCACUACUAAAGAAAGAGCUGCCACAUGAAAUGAACAGUGUAUUAGAAAUGUAUGCCAGAGGCUUUCCCCUGUAAUAAAGUUUUAGAAAAACUG
rnacentral:antisense_RNA from 1 species